rnacentral:rRNA from 1 species
GACGUAGGGCGCGAGCGUUGUCCGGAUUUAUUGGCGUAAAGGGCUCGUAGGCGGUUUGUCGCGUCGGGAGUGAAAAUCCAGGGCUUAACUCUGGACUGGCUUCCGAUACGGGCAGACUAGAGGUAUGCAGGGGAGAACGGAAUUCCUGGUGUAGCGGUGAAAUGCGCAGAUAUCAGGAGGAACACCGGUGGCGAAGGCGGUUCUCUGGGCAUUACCUGACGCUGAGGAGCGAAAGUGUGGGGAGGCGAACAGG